rnacentral:tRNA from 1 species
GAGGAGUUAGUUAAAAUAACACCCCCUUGUCAAGGGGGAAUUAUAGGUUAAACCCCUUUACCCCUCUCA